UGGGUUGUAACUCAGUGGUAAAGAGCACUUGCCUAGCAUGUAUGAGGCACUGGGUUCAAUUCUCAGCACCACAU
rnacentral:tRNA from 1 species